rnacentral:piRNA from 1 species
UGUAGUUCCAUUGGACAGACAGUUUC